CUUCCUACCUCGGCCUCCCAAGUAGCUGGGACUACAGGGAAAGGAGGCUCACACAUGGGAGGUAGUGAGUCCCAGACAUGAACCCAGACAUCUGGUUCCAGAGUCCCUGCCCUUCACCUCUGCAGUGCUGCAGAUUCCAGCCCUCAUCAGUCGAUAGAUUAAAAGGGUGAUGGGAACUAUUUCACAUUCAAUUGUAUAUUUCAUGCAACCCCUCAUGGUGCCUUGAACAAGGUUCAGUCCUCCAAGAAACCAAUGACUUGUCUCAGGACUUCUAUCCCUUCCACGGAGAACUACAUUCUCUUGCCAAAAUACCUCGAUAUCUUUUGAUAAGCUCCUGACCUUUUAAUUUUGGUCCUUGUCUCCCCCAGCAGAUACAGUUGUGUUUGGAGCCAGACUCUAAACCUUAGUGUGGUCUGGAGAUUAGGUGAAAUAAAAGCUCUUAUAUCAUGGGCCAUACUUCUAGGGAGAGAUAGGGUAUUUAUGAAUGGUCAGAUUUCUCACUGGAUUCACCACUGAACAGAAUUUAAUGUCAUUGGUUUGGGCAAGUGCUCAAAACUGGGCAAGAGUUAGCCUCUCCCUACUCACCAGUAUCCCUAAAGAGGUCAUCCUGACUGUAGAAAAUCUCCAUUUCCCCAAAACUUAACUCUUAACAUAGCACUUCCGGAACCUGUUGGCACCUAUAACUGUACUGUGGAAAUGAGCUGUUGAGAUGACUAGUUUUGUGUGAGGUUAUCAAUUUCUGCCAGUGAUUUAGUGUUCUCUGAUGAUCUUGGAAACUCUAAUUUGAUGUUUCAAGAGAAGAGCAUCCCACUCAUCCCUUGCCGGCAGAUCACUGAUUUAAAAAUCAAUCUUUAGUGUUUGGGGGAAAUAUAAGUCUCUCCCUCCCUAUACAAAAUAAUAAUCAUAAUGAUGAUGUUGGACAGGAGAUUCAUGGAGUGUCAUUUUGAAGUGAAAGACCAAAGAGAGUUCCUAGAGUUAUAUCAAAUUUAAAUGUUAACACAAUAUAAAAAUGAAUGAUAAAUCCUUGAAAGAUAUUCUGGGACAGCUGCCACAAUAAUCAGAGUAUAUUUUUUGGUUAGAAGGUUUCAAAUCACAGAUUACAACUAAUAUAUAGAGAAAGGAGAGGGAGAGCUUAUUUUUCUCAUUUUUAAAAUCCUAAGACAACUGCCCCUUCAAGUCAAUGGUAUUUACUUGGAUGGA